AUGACCCAAAACGCCCCAAAAUGGCCCAAAAUAACCCAAAACGCCCCAAAAUGCCCCAAAAAGCCCCAAAUUGACCCCAAUUUGCCCCCCAGGUGCUUCGAGGGCGACUUCUCGGGGCCCCGGCACUUCCCCAACUGCUCGGUGGCCCUGGGCCACCAGGACAGCUCCGGACACCCCAGUGACCACCAGAGUGACCACCCCAGUGACCACCUGAAGAACCUCAGUGACCACCAGAGUGACCACCAGAGUGACCACCCCAGUGACCACCUGAAGAACCUCAGUGACCACCAGAGUGACCACCUGAAGAACCUGAGUGACCACCAGAGUGACCACCAGAGUGACCACCUGAAGAACCUGAGUGACCACCAGAGUGACCACCAGAGUGACCACCAGAGUGACCACCUGAAGAACCCCAGUGACCACCAGAGUGACCACCUGAAGAACCCCAGUGACCACCAGAGUGACCACCUGAAGAACCUCAGUGACCACCUGAAGAGCCUCAGUGACCACCAGAGUGACCACCUGAAGAACCUGAGUGACCACCGGAGUGACCACCUGAAGAACCCCAGUGACCACCUGAAGAACCCCAGUGACCACCAGAGUGACCACCUGAAGAACCUGAGUGACCACCAAAAGGACCAGGGUGACCACCGGAGUGACCAGGGUGACCACUGGAGUGACCUGAGUGACCACCAGAGUGACCAGGCUGACCACCUGAGUGACCAGAGUGACCAGGGUGACCACCUGAGUGACCUGAGGGACCACCAGAAGAACCUGAGUGACCAGAAUGACCACCAGAGUGACCUGAGUGACCAUCAAAAGAAGCUGAGUGACCACCAGAAGAACCUGAGUGACCACUGGGGUGACCUGAGUGACCACCAGAAGGACCAGAGUGACUGGAGUGACCACCAGACUGACCCCCAGGGUGACCACAGUGACCACAAAGACCAGCAGGGUGACCAAGCUGACCACAAUGACCAUGAUGACCACAAUGGCCACCAGGCUGAACAAGGUGACCACCAUGACCAAGCUGACCACAAUGACCAUGAUGACCACCAUGACCACCAGGCUGACCAAGGUGACCACCAUGACCACAAUGACCACCAUGGUGACCACCAUGACCACAAUGACCACCAUGACCACCAGGCUGACCAAGGUGACCACGCUGAGCACCAAGGUGACCACCAUGACCACAAUGAUCACCAUGACCACCAGGCUGACCAAGGUGACCACAAUGACCAUGGUGACCACGAUGACCACCAAGGUGACCAAGGUGACCAUGG
rnacentral:lncRNA from 1 species